CUUUUUAAAUCCCCUACAAGUUCUAAGCAGUUUUCUAUUGAAAGUCUAAUAGUUCUCAUGUGAAUAUUUGUUUCUUCUAUUUCUCUCCUUAAACCCUGUAAUGCGAUCUUAACAUUGUAGCUGUGAUCUCAAGUAUUUUGGUGUAAAUCUGACCUGACAUUCUGUGAUUAAAUACAUUCUUAUUGUAAGCCUUUGGUCUUUCCCACUACUCAAUGUUUGCUGUGUUUUGCUUUUGUUUUCUAAAGAAGCUGCGUUGUACUAACUUUUUACAGUUUUCCAAAUAAGAAUUUUCAGAACCAAUCUGUCUUUAAUGUUUCCUCUAGGUUGACCUACCAAAGAGAUUUCUAGACAAAAUAAAAGAGGGGAAACGUGGUAGAUUCAAGGGUGAUGGAUCCGUGCUCGGUCGGAGUCCAGCUUCGCACCACACAUGACUGCCAUAAAACCUUCUACACUCGGCACACGGGCUUCAAGACAUUGAAAGAAUUGUCAUCAAAUGACAUGCUUUUACUUCAGCUUAGAACUGGAAUGACACUUUCUGGGAAUAAUACGAUUUGUCUCCAUCAUGUAAAAAUUUAUAUUGAAAGAUUUGAAGAGUUACAGAAGUCAUGUUGUGACCCAUUUAACAUACACAAAAAGCUAGCCAAAAAGAAUCUACAUGUAAUUGACUUAGAUGAUGCCACUUUUCUGAGUGCAAAGUUUGGAAGGCAGCUCGUACCUGGUUGGAAGCUUUGCCCAAAAUGUACCCAGAUCAUCAAUGGAAGCGUGGAUGUUGAUUCAGAUGACCGCCAGAGACGGAAACCCGAGUCAGAUGUAUGUAUAGAUGCCAUUAACUUUUCUGCAGUGUGGGACUUUAGAUGUAUGGAGUAGCUAUAAGAAAUCAUGUCAUAUUUCUGUCACAUUCAUUAGCAUAUAACAGAUUUAAAGUUGAGGUGAAAUAGUGAUGUUUUAAAAUGUUUCCAUAUACUCACAGUCCAGAAUGAGCAGUAAACAAGGGCUUAGGACAAAAGAACAUAAUGUCUCCAAGAUUUCAAUGCUACAACUUCUGUUCUUAGACUUUAGGAAGGAGAGUUUAGGCAUGGCCUUUAGAACAUUGGCAAAGGCCAGCUUAGGGAACUUAUAUCCUUUUCUGUUACUGAAGUAGCUAACAAUGUUUUACCUACUGGAGACUACACACCAGGAAGGAUGUCAGACUUGGUCUAGGACUAAAGCAUUGCUUUAAGAAAAAGAAUCAAGGAAGUGGGU
rnacentral:lncRNA from 1 species